rnacentral:lncRNA from 1 species
GUCUUUAUCAUGCUGUUCAUAUAAAGAACUUGUUAGGAAUGAUUUGUUUGUGAUGCAUAUUCAUCCAAUUCAAUGAUUCUAGGGAAAUCUGAAGGUUAAUUUAAGCGGACCUAAUUAACUUGGAGUGUCGAGAUUCAUAACUUAUUAAAUUGAUAACUGGAAAUUGAUUUAGGUUGCAUAUAUUUCAUGUGUGGAGAAGAACCCCUUAGCUAUUCCAUCAUCCAUUGAUUCUUCAUAACUUUGUCUUACAAUCUGUUUCUAUUACAAUCUGCCAUUUAAGUUUAUUUUCGUCCAAAUCAAAUCCCCAUUUAUUUUGAAGUCCUAGAUUAGUUGGAAAGUGUGUUGGUUUAUGUUUUUAAGUGUUUUGGUACAAGUUAAAACCCAAAUUCGUCCAAUUUGGUGCUUUGUGUUCAAAACUGCCCAGAAAGUGUUUUUAAGGCAGUUUUGAAUCUUUUGGUUGCUGUUUUGAGUUUUUGGUUUGUUUUAGUAUUUUAAACGUGAGUUUGCAUUCUUUGAGUCUAAUCUAGUGUUUAAACCUUGUUUUUACGUUUCUAAUUCAGUUUCAAGUGAUUAGUACCCCUAGUUAAUCCCCGGUUAUAACGAUCCCUACGUACAUCAUUACUACAAUCAUCACAAAUAGGGUUUAAUUUUGUGUGUUAACAUAAUUUUCACAUCAAGAGAGAGAGGAGAAAUGAAAGAUUGGAUGAGACUUUUCAGAUUACUUUUUCAUGAAUGUAAAUGUUUACAAGAUAAGCUAUAUAUAGCAUUUUACACUUUCACAGCUCACCUCUAACGUACUUUUAACAACUCAGCUAACUACCAACAAUUCUCAAAUAUAUUUAACUGACAUGGCAGCUGACAUGGCACACACUCACACUUUAUUUGAUGUCUACACAUAUCAUCCCCCCUCAAUCUCAGCUGGAUUUACCAAGCCUGAUAUUGCAACAAUGUUUGAAGAACGCUAGACGAAUCAAACCUUUAGUUAGAAUAUUGAUGCGAAAAUUAUCUUAACACACAAAUUUAACCCUCUUUUGACAAUUGUAGUACAAGUAUAAUUAGGGAUCGUUCUGGACCGGGGAUUAGGAUGGCUUGCUAAUAACCUCUAAACUGACUCAAAAACAUAAAACUAAAUUUAAAAACACUUAACAAGACUCACAAGACUCAAAGCAAACUAAAAAUACUCAAAACAGCUUAAAACAACCAAAUAAACUUAAACUAGACACUAGGAAUGACUUUGGACGAAAAUUGACUUUUACUUGAAUCAAAACACUUAAAAACACAAAUUAAAACAGAUUUGAAACACUUUGAAACAAGAAACUAAAAGGGGGUUUGGAUGAAGUUGAAACAAACAAACAAGUAUGAAAAACUAGACAGAUUGUAAAACGAAUGUGAGAAAUAAGAUGAUGGAUGGGAUAGCUAGAGGCUUUUUCUCCACACAUAACAUGUAUGCAAAUAACUUGAUUUCCAGUUACUACUUCAUUGAAUUAUGAAUAACAAUGCUCCAAAUUAACCGUGACAUCACUAAUUAACUCUCAGAUUUUCCUUGUUUUAUUGGAUUGGAUGACAACAUUCGACAACCCAAAUCAUUCGACACCCCUUUGUGGCUGAGCUCUUUGUCAUUUUUACAUUAAUUCUUCUUUCUCUUAACACAUUCCUAGCCUCUUUAGUCUUCAAUUUUGUCCAUCCAACUUGCUCCAUGCAUGUGUUAUUCAUUCCAAGCCCAAAACUGCUACAAAAUGCAUUUUAUUGCUUUAUAAGGCCUAUGGACCUACAAACACACGAAAAUAGCUUAAAAUACAUAAUUAACUAAGAAAUAACAACAUAAAUGCAUGAGAACAAGCUAACUCAGUUGCAUAAAUAUGCUCCUAUCAAAUUCCCCCACACUUAGCUUUUGCUAGUCCUCGAGCAAAACAAAACAAACAAAACAAACAAAACACAACCUAGAUCUUCCAACAUUUGCCUCAGGGAUUUUUAAUGAAACAUGACAUGUUAAAAAUCAUCAUUCCCACAGAUUUUGGUUAUCUUUACACUUGAGCACAUACUUAAUCACAGUCACCACUUACUAGUUCACAAUUAACCAAUUAAAACAAUGUUUUGAAUGUAGUAACAUGCCUUAGAGAAUUUGCUCAAUUCCUUACAACUCUCUAUUUUCACACACAUUUUCUGACUACACACCCUACACUAAUAUAUGUGAGAAGAUUGAUGUAAACACGAAAGACUAGGACUCACAUAUGUUAUAACAAAGAAAGCAAUUUUCUGGAGUUAUUAAGCAUGUUUAGAUAUGAUCUCAUGAAUGGAAUGCUACUAUUUAGAUGCGAGAACCAGUGACACCAUAUGCUCAUACCAAUUUCGAACUCCACAAAUUGAAACACAUAACACUCAAGAUUGAAGUCAAGGGUUGUAACAGGGCUUGGGGGUAAUGGUUAAUAAAGAAGGGAUAGGAAUAACAAACGUUCUUAAAGCGAUAGCAAGCAAAGCAAUGAAAUAGACACUUGGAAUUCACUUUAGAAUGCAGAAUCAACUUUUAAAUACAAAGGGAGGAUUCAUGCAACACUUAGGGCUCUUUUUCAUACUGUUUUAAAUUCUUUUUUUCUUUUGACUCUUUUUUUUUCUUUUCUACCCGUGCCUUAUUAAGGACUUUGGCACACACACACACAAGAAUCACUUCCCCCACACUUGCUUUCUGCCAUACAUUGAUAAAAAAAGGAGUUCAUUUUAAGUCAUGCUUUACUAUGCUUCAAGAAUAAGGGUAUGGAUGGUCCUAAAACUAGGCUAGGUAAGGAUAGUGUGGGUUAACAAAGAACAUAGGCUUAACAAGGUUUAACGAGGUUAAAUUUAAACACAUAAUGAAAUAGGGGCACGGCAAUUUGGCUUUGGUGGUCACUACACAACUUCAUCUUGAAUAUGUGUUAUGCAAAUCAAUAGCAUGCUUUGAAUGAAAUAGGCAUGAGUUCUAGCAUUUGGAACUAAAUGAUGAAACGUCUUCUAAAUAGCAACCAAGCAAAGAAUAAUGAGAUCAUGCAACGACUUUAGAAAAUAAUGGUGCACAGAUUAUUAACUCUCCAAAUAAAUGUUUAGGCUCAAGUCUCAUAAGGUUGUAGCGUUCAUUUGAGUUCCUUCCUUCAAGCAUGUUACAAAAACUGAUUUUUCCUUUAUGAUUGCAUGUGAAUUCAUAAAUUAUAACCACAACCAAGCAUACAUCAAAGAGUAAAUCAAAUUUUCAUCCAUGUUUAUAACUCAAUUUAACAGUCAUGUAAUUAAAAACCAAAUCCUCAUCAUUGUGUUGGAAGGUACCCUAAGACACAAAUAAACACACAAAAACAACUCUUUUUGGGUUUUUCAAAUUUUUAUGAGAUUUUCGGAUUUUUGUGUCAAAACACACUAAAACACUCCAAAAUAGCUUAAAACACUUAAAAACAGCAAGGAACAACACUAGAAGUAAUGGGUGAUAAACUCCUACGAAUUUUAUGCAAAACAACUUG